rnacentral:rRNA from 1 species
AGAUUGCACAACGGAGGAAACUCUGAUGCUGCGACGCCGCGUGAGCGAUGAAGGCUUUCGAGUGGUAAAGCCCUGUUCUAGGGGGCGAUAAUGACGGUACCCUAGGAGGCAGCCCCGGCUAACUACGUGCCAGCAGCCGCGGUAAUACGAAGGGGGCGAGCGUUGUCCGGAAUUAUUGGGCGUAAAGGGUUCGCAGGCGGCCUUUUAAGUCAGAUGUGAAAGCCCACGGCUUAACCGUGGUAAGCAUUUGAAACUGGAAGGCUUGAGUUAAGGAGAGGAAAGUGGAAUUCCUAGUGUAGCGGUGAAAUGCGUAGAUAUUAGGAGGAAUACCAGUGGCGAAGGCGACUUUCUGGACUUAUACUGACGCUGAGGAACGAAAGCGUGGGGAGCAAACA